rnacentral:lncRNA from 1 species
CCAAAUGGUUUUUUUUCUGAUUAUAUGUUGUUUCUAUUUUUCCGUGGAAAGACCCAUUGUUCUUGUUCUGAAUAUUAAUUUUGUUUUCAGUUUUUAAUUCUUUCCCCACUUUUAUUUCUUUGGUGUUAUAUUUGUUUCGCAUGAUGUCACCUAAAUGCAUGGAUGUGAUAUCGAAAAGUUAAUGCGCCUUUGAUGUUGGCCCUGUUUAACUGAAUACUUUUCUCUGCAGGAGUUAUCUCUUAAAACAUUGUUUUCCUUGUGAUUAUAUAUCCUAUGUAACUGUAAA